CAGAGGUGAAAUACCGGGGCUCAACCCUGGAACUGCCUUUUGAUACUGGAGGGCUUGAAUACUGUUGCCGUGGGAGGAAUGAGUAGUGUAGCGGUGAAAUGCAUAGAUAUUACUCAGAACACCGAUUGCGAAGGCAUCUCACGAAUCCGUCAUUGACGCUGAGGCACGAAAGCGUGGGGAUCAAACAGGAUUAGAUACCCUGGUAGUCCACGCAGUAAACGAUGAUGACUAACCGUCGGCGAUACACAGUCGGUGGCCAAGCGAAAGCGAUAAGUCAUCCACCUGGGGAGUACGUUCGCAAGAAUGAAACUCAAAGGAAUUGACGGGGGCCCGCACAAGCGGAGGAACAUGUGGUUUAAUUCGAUGAUACGCGAGGAACCUUACCCGGGCUCGAACGGCAAGUGAACGAUACAGAGAUGUUGAGGCCCUUCGGGGCGCUUGUCGAGGUGCUGCAUGGUUGUCGUCAGCUCGUGUCGUGAGAUGUUGGCUCAAGUGCCAUAACGAGCGCAACCCUUGCUGUCAGUUACCAGCACGUCAAGGUGGGGACUCUGACAGGACUGCCACCGCAAGGUGUGAGGAAGGCGGGGAUGACGUCAAAUCAGCACGGCCCUUACGUCCGGGGCGACACACGUGUUACAAUGGUGACUACAGAGGGAUGCCACCCAGCGAUGGGGAGCGGAUCUCGAAAAGUCAUCUCAGUUCGGAUUGGAGUCUGCAACUCGACUCCAUGAAGCUGGAUUCGCUAGUAAUCGCGCAUCAGCCAUGGCGCGGUGAAUACGUUCCCGGGCCUUGCACUCAAGGCCCGUCAAG
rnacentral:rRNA from 1 species